rnacentral:rRNA from 1 species
AGUAAUGUAUGGGGAUCUGCCUGAUGGCGGGGGAUAACUACUGGAAACGGUAGCUAAUACCGCAUAAUGUCUGCGGACCAAAGCGGGGGACCUCCGGGCCUCGCGCCAUCAGAUGAACCCAUAUGGGAUUAGCUUGUAGAUAAGGUAACGGCUUACCUAGGCGACGAUCCCUAGCUGGUCUGAGAGGAUGAUCAGCCACACUGGGACUGAGACACGGCCCAG